rnacentral:rRNA from 1 species
GCAGCCGCGGUAAUACGUAGGGGGCGAGCGUUGUCCGGAAUGAUUGGGCGUAAAGGGCGCGUAGGCGGCCUGAUAAGUCUGGAGUGAAAGUCCCGCUUUCAAGGUGGGAAUUGCUUUGGAUACUGUCGGGCUUGAGUGCAGGAGAGGAAAGCGGAAUUACCGGUGUAGCGGUGAAAUGCGUAGAGAUCGGUAGGAACACCAGUGGCGAAGGCGGCUUUCUGGACUGAAACUGACGCUGAGGCGCGAAAGCGUGGGGAGCAAACAGGAUUAGAUACCCC